GCUCAGAGUAUAAGCCAAUGGAGCUUGGAAGGCUUCCGCAGAUGGUGUUCAUCAUACGUGGUGUUCUUAGAUCUUGAGUGUGGCUCGUCAAGCGAAGCAUUGAGUUUGCCGACCAGCUGUCGUGCGGGGGGUUCAGCUUGGAAGGGUUGGGUUUCGGUCCAACAGUUUUCCUUCUGUCCCCUUUUGAAUGGACGUUCAGAGCUCUUGUGUCUAAUGCGGUUAUGCCCACCACAGCACGUUGUGAGGUCACCCACAGGCUCAAACUGCCGAUCGCGCAUCCAGGACGAUGGCAACGAUGCGUUGUCGAUGAUGGCUCGAGAGAGACUUCACUCACACGCGUGUCUAGUCCUGGGUCGGGCGGCGACCGAGAUAAACCUGGUACGAUCCUCUUGCGACGAGCUGCUUUCUGGCCAGACCGACGCCCGGACGCCUCCACUGUGCCGGAAGCGUCAACCCCAGGCGGUGUGAACCCAGCUGCAUUAUGCAAGGUCUCUCAGCCGGGCGUUGGUCUGAGUGGUGUUAAGUCCAGCACCAUCGGUCACGUCUCGAAACACGGGCCAAGGAGUAUAGCAUGUGUGCAAGUCUAAGGGUCUCACAAAACCCGAAGGCGAAGUGAAAGCAAGACUGUGGCGGGGGAGCUACGGCAAACCCGCCGGCCUAGUGGCGCGUGCGUCGCCUGGCUUUUAGCAGAGCUGAUCCUGUUUUCUCGGUUAAUUCUUGGUGCAGGCGCAAGCUCCGGGCUCACGUACAACACUGGUCACGCCUCGCG
rnacentral:rRNA from 1 species